UCUCCCAUUUAAACCCUAACCUUUGCUUCUAUCAUCUAUCCAUGGAUACUCGUCGACCUUCUCGCCUUAUCGAUCCAAAGGUUCGUCGGGUGGGAUUCUUCGCACCCGACCCGGAUAACCAUCCCAGACUUGCCUCAUCUCCCUCCGGGAACUCUUCAUCUCCGGCGAUGAUCUCUCAUGCCUUCGACAGCGUCUCACAAGCUGUGCCUGUUCCCAAUUCUACCUUGUCGCGGCCUCGACGAACUUCUUUUGACGAAAGUGAGCAAUUUGUGGUUGGAAGUUACAAUCCUAUGCAGUCCGUGCUGGGAACUUCACCGGCAUCCAGCGGAAUUGGUGUAGAUGGCGAAUUUUCCGAGGACUCCUCUCAGUGGGUUCGUUUAACCGAUGGUUUCGGUUUGACUUCACCUGCGAAAUCAAUGACUGAGUUGAAAGACGAUCAGGAUACCUCUAGCAUGGAACGGGUCAGUGCACUAGUGGCUGAAACACCAACUGAAGUAGAAAGAAAUGAUAAGUCACUGAAAGAAAAGACCACGAAAGCUGAAAGGCGUGCGCUGCAGGAGACUCAACGAGCUGCAAAAGCUUCGGGAAAAGCUGGGGGAAAAUCUGUGGUAAAGUUACAUGGACAGUCUGGUAAACCUGCUAAGCAGCCUCCACAAAAGAAAGAUGGUGGACCAAUGAUGUCAUCUGCAGCUCUUUCUGAGACAAAAGGAGGUGACGGACCACCAGAAAAGGAUCGCAAGAAAGAUGUACCAGCUCCUAGGAUGCAAUUUGAUGAUAAGAAUCGUGUUGAAAAAGCUAAGAAGCGUGCACUAGUUAAAAAGAUUGAAGCUAGAAAUAGAGUAGAAUUGUUUCGGCAUUUACCGCAGUAUGAACAAGGAACUCAGCUACCUGAUCUUGAAUCGAGGUUUUUCCACCUUGAUACCAUGCAUCCUG
rnacentral:misc_RNA from 1 species